CUUGACUAAUCCAUAUCCUCCCUGUCUUCUAUCAUGUAACCAAGGAAGGAGACCACCUGGGAUACUAUGUUGGUCCAAGUCCAGCUAAAAAACAGAAGGGGUGGAAAGGAGAGUAAUUUGAUAAAAGAGCCAAGAAGGGAGAGAAUGGAAUGAAUUGAGCUGAUUUCAAGGAAAAGGAGCAUGGGACAUGUUGAGAUUUUUGGUAUCAGUGUUAAACGGUGAUUGAAGCCACAUAGGUUAGCAGCCCCCAUAGAAAUAACUGCCUUUUGUAGCUUGGAACUACUAAGCAGACAUCUUUUAAG
rnacentral:lncRNA from 1 species